rnacentral:tRNA from 1 species
GGGCGGUUAGCUCAGUUGGCCAGAGCGCCUGGUUUACACCCAGGAGGUCGGGGGUUCGAGCCCCUCACCGCCCACCA